rnacentral:lncRNA from 9 species
UUCUCUUUUAAAGAAGUCAUGAGGGAUCCAAUGCUUGAUGGCAACGCAGCCCUUCAUUGAAAAUUCAAGGGCCUCAUUGUUUCCCUGCAACAGGAAGACAACUUGGAAAGGAUUCUCUAGACACUGAGCCCAUUGUAGGAAGCUGUGCGACCCAAAGAUUUUCAUGAGCAUGAACUUGCCCUUUGAGAUCAAAGCCGAUUGUCUUCUGAGAGGUGUCCAGUGGGCCAUCCUCUGAAAAGUGACCCACUGUUCAGCACAGCUCUUUCCAGGACACUGAAUUGGAGCCAGCUGGUGCCUGGAACGUACCUUGUAUGUCACUUUCUGAUCUCUGAAGGCCAACUGUAUGUGAUUAAGCCUAACAGACACAGAGCUUGUGUUAAGCCCAGGAUGUCGCUUGGUGCUCUUGCAAAUCCUGUUCCUCAUACUCUGUCUUGGUGGCAAGUGGGUUCAAUAGAUGACUUCCUGCGGUGAGAGGCUAAGAGAGUGGGAGGAAUGUCAUUUUUCAGUCGACAGAAAUAAGAGAGACCGCCCUGGCUGCCAUGUUGAGACUAGCUUGCCAUGGAUAAGAGAAGAAUCAAGAAGACCAGGUAAGAAGCAAUCGAGGUGCUUCUGGUGUGAGGUGCUUCUGGUGUAAAGUGCUUAGCUGGGGUGGCAGCAGAGAAAGGGGUGGGAGUGGUCAGCCUGAGUCCACUCUGGCACAUGGCACUGACGGAGCUUGCUGAUGGUGGGAGGUGGGUGUGAGGGGAAGAGAGGAGACAAAGAUGAAGUCAUCCAAGGACUAGUGGGCUGAGCAAUGGGAAGGGUGGAGUUGCCAUCCACUGAGUUUGUAUUUCUCUGUUUCUGGAACUCAGUGGUAAACUUCUGGCAGACAGGAACCAGCGUCUUGUGUAUUCUGUAACCUUCAUACAAACAUGAUCAAAAUUAUGCUAAAUGUAAAAUGAAGUUUAAAGUUCCCCUUAUAGGGUCUUUUCUGGCCCACAGAGGGGUCUCAACGUUGACCUUGGGGCCAGCCAACCAAUGAUCGCUCUCCUUUCCAUGCUGUGUGGAACCCACUUGCUCCUCUGGUGGUGACUUUUGGAUGGCCACGGGGGUAGGUUUCUGCCUAUCUAGUCAAACUAUUAUUUAACCCUUCAUAUGGGUCCAGGUACUUUCCUGAACAGGAGAAUUUCUAGAGAGAGGGAUGGAGGCGGAGGGUGGGAAAUCAGCUCUCAUCCCCUUUAACCAUCUUGUUCUCUUCUUGCUGCAAGACUCCAACAAGGUGAACUUAACCCAGAGGAUACAAGGAAAACAUUUUUGAAGCUUUUUAUAGGGCCGGUUCAGUAAUGUAAAUGUCUGCUUCUGUCCAGGGAUAAACAAUAGGGAGUAAUUGGUACCGAUGCAGCAAACCAGAGUCCCAGGCAAUUGCUGCUGUGUAGAACUGGAGGUGCAAUAAACCAGGCAUGUGUGUGAGCCUAUUGCAGCCCAGGAACCCCUCCUUCCCCAGCCCUGGCCUGAGCAUCAGAGAAGUCCCUUUAAGACCUUCCCUUUCUUCUCAUUGUCCUGUUCUUCCCAGAGUCCUCUCUUGGAUCCAUUCAUUGUUGGUGCUCCUUAUGCACCAUCCUGCAUUAUUUCCACAUUCUUACACCCCCUUAAGAAGUACCUGGGUCCUAGAUACUUUCAAGCCUCUAUGUCUUGCCAACUGUUUCUGUAAGUGCUGCAGGUGUUUGUCUAUUGCUAUCAAGUGCAUACCGUAAGUUAAAGAUACUUUAUUGCUACAAAAUGUUAACCAUCAUCUGAGCCUUCAGCAAGUUACAGUAGUAAUAUCAAUGAUCGCUGAUCACAGAUCACCUUAGCAAAUAUAAUAAUAAUGAAAAAGUUUGAGAAUUACCGAAAUGUAACACAGAGACACCUAGCGAGCCACUGCUGUAGGAAAAAAUGGCACUAAUAAACUCGCUGGAUGCCACAGCGUUGCCAUAAACCUUCAAUUUAUAAAAUUCAAUAUUGUCAAAGUGUAAUAAAAUGAGGUAUGCCUGUAUUUCAACAGUGCUUCUCCUUUAGGGUCUUUCCUUGUAAAUUACUGAAACCUCUAGGGGUUCAACCCAAAGGUUCUCACUUAGAUUAUUUACAUAAAGAUGUUCAUAAUCCCAUGGAAUAACAAAUCUUUAUUACAAAAUUGAGUCUCGUGUUUAGGAAUCUUUGGAGAAGGAAGUUUAAAUACCAAGAAAGAUAUAUUAAGAAAUAAAUUGUGGGAAGAUCGAGGGAAAUUGAGGGGAAAAAAAUCCACUGAUGAGCAUAUUUCAAUAGAGCUUUGACCUACUGGUAGCUCAUCUCUGCACAGCCUCUUCCCAUAGCCCUUCCUACAUGAGCGCCUCCUCCAGGAAGUGGGGCUGUUUGUUAUCAAGCACGUCCAUGUGUUCUUUCUCAGUAAACCAAAAGAUUUCCAAUUUAUCGGAGGGAUUUCAACUCUAGCAAAAUGUUCAGUGUCCCCAAAGCUAUUCAAUACUCUUCAUUAUUCUUAUAACGAUCAGUAGAACACCCUCAUUUAUGUUUAUAUUUUUCCAAAGAUAAAAAUUGGAGCAAUUGGAGGAGGGGGAGAGAUUCAUGGAUACAAAUGGCUUGAUCUUUUCACCUGUUUCACUGGCUCUUUUUUUGAAUGUUGACUUAAUUUUAUACAUCUAGGUAUUCCCACUUCACCCAUUUUGUGGGUGCUUCAGGUGGCCCAAAUAGGAAGGGCCUAUUUAUCGAUUUUUUCUUCUGUGAAUGUGGCCACUGUCCUCUUAGCCUGUGAACAUAAGGUCUGCCGUCCUCUUGCUCUUACUGGUGGGGCAUGGGGGAGGGGUUGUACCCUGAAGAGGCAAAAAUCAUUUCAAAUCCCCUGAAGACCAAAAUAUCAAGAAUUAGAGGGCAAUGUAAUGGCUGGGAGAGGGAAGAAAGGACAGAAGCAAAUAGUUGACAGGUCUCUAAAAUUUUAAUUUUCAGCCCAAAGAAUUUCUUGAAAGGCACCUUUGAGGGGGAGGGCUCAUUGAUUUUCUUUUCUUUUUUUUUGACUUUUUAGGGCCGCACAUGUGGUAUAUGGAAGUUCCCAGACUAGGGGUGGAAUCAGAACUGUAGCUGCUUGCCUACAACCACAGUCAAGCAAUGCCAGAUCCAAACUGUGUCUGUGACCUACACGGCAAUUCACAGCAACACUGGAUCCUUAACCCACUGAGCGAGGCCAGGGAUCGAACCCAUAUCCUCAUGGAUCC